GGGUUGUGAGGUUAAGCGACUAAGCGUACACGGUGGAUGCCCUGGCAGUCAGAGGCGAUGAAGGACGUGCUAAUCUGCGAUAAGCGCCGGUAAGGUGAUAUGAACCGUUAUAACCGGCGAUUUCCGAAUGGGGAAACCCAGUGUGACUCGUCACACUAUCAUUAACUGAAUCCAUAGGUUAAUGAGGCGAACCGGGGGAACUGAAACAUCUAAGUACCCCGAGGAAAAGAAAUCAACCGAGAUUCCCCCAGUAGCGGCGAGCGAACGGGGAGGAGCCCAGAGCCUGAAUCAGCAUGUGUGUUAGUGGAAGCGUCUGGAAAGGCGCGCGAUACAGGGUGACAGCCCCGUACACA
rnacentral:rRNA from 1 species